rnacentral:lncRNA from 1 species
UUUGCUUGGUGAUUGUUUCCUAUGGGAGUUUCCAGUGAGUCCUGAUCCUUGGAAAGGGACUUCUCAGCAGCAGACUGUGCUCAGAGUCUAGGUAUGACCUUUGGAAUAUUAAACAUUCCCAUGGCCUCAAAUAGUUCUUGAGUGCCUGCUGAUGCUGAAGGCUGUCACAAUCAUCUUGUGAGGGUUUUUCUUGUCUGAGAUAGAUUGCUAAGACCAGUGAAAUGAACUAUGCUGGAAAGAUUCCUAGCAUUGUCUGUGAAAGCCUCUGUAAGUAACUGCCUGACAUUGGAGUCUCAAAGCUAGAUGUGAUGAACCUAGUGCUCAGGGAGGACAUACACUGGAUAUUGCCACAAACACUGGAGAAUUCAUCAGGGAUAACUGUCUGUAGAAAAGUUUUACUUUUUCCUCAUAGUUAAUGUGGAUAAUACUUUCUUAAGAUUGUUCUAUAUGAAAUUGAAUGCUCCUUCAUUCACUUUGAAUGUGCUCCACAUCAAAAAAUAACUCAAGUAUCUAUUUCAAACUUUCCUAUCUGACUUAGCACAAUGUAUAACUAAGAUAACAUUUUUAUUUUCUCCUGUUAUUCUUGUAUUUCCUUUGCGACCUUUUGGUUACUCAAAUAUUUUAAAGACCUUUUGUUUACCACUGUGAUAGCAUUUAUUUUUAACAGUAGGCUUCCAGCUGUCUAACUCUAAUCCAACAACCAGAUGCUGAGCACUGCUGCAGCAAGAUGUGUUUAGCUUCCAGACCAUGAACAAGCUAGAAUAUAUUUCACAGUUCAGAACCUUUGAGUGUUUACGUCUUAACACUUGUUGUGUCACAGUGCCCUUGCUGCAUCUGUUUUCUUUGAUUUUUUUGUAAGAGCUGGAAGAAAGACUGGGAAAUUCCAAGUUGCAUUCUAGUGGGGGCUCUCCUCUUUCCCCACUCCAGAUGUAUUUGCAGACCAGAAUGAAUGCAAAUGCAACUGCCAAUGCAAUGUCAUGUUCUCUGUGACCUGGGGCUAAGAAGUCAGGAAAGGCUUGUCAUACUCGUUGAAUUCAAAGAAUUAUUUGCUCUUUUAUUAUUAUUGUUAUUAGUGAAAUAAUCAACGCUGGUUUACUUCUUUAUAUGCUCUAUCCUCUCUGAGAAAUCAUAUGCACCAGGAAUAUGCAGCUACAACUUCUGCAAGGAAAUCUUAGAGGGUCAUGCUUAUGCUUUUCCUUGCAGAAUGAGGCAAUAUUGCUAUUACUGUUGGCUGAUCUUUCAGAGCACAAAAUUAGAGGUUUUCAGAUGAAAAACAUCCUGGACAUAUGCCACGCAUUCAAAAUAAAAAAAAUCUUCAAGAUACAAAGCAGAUGUGGCUAAAGAAAUUAAAGCAGUCAUGCUUUAAAUAAAAUAAAGAAGUCAUGGAUUAUUU